rnacentral:SRP_RNA from 1 species
GAAUGGGCGCUGUGCGACAGAGCGCUGUGAACCAUGUCAGGCGGGGAACCGAGCAGCAUUAAGCAGAUUUCUUUGUGCGAUGCAGUCAGUUCGUCGUUU